GCUAAGACUGGAUAGGAAGAAAUAAGGCAUCUUUUUUCUUUUAAAAGACCUAGUGAUAGGUAUACUUUAGGAGGGGCUUGCGCCAUAUUAGUUAGUUGGUAGGGUAAUGGCCUACCAAGACGAUGAUGUGUAGCUGGACUGAGAGGUUGAACAGCCACAUUGGGACUGAGACACGGCCCAAACUCCUACGGGAGGCAGCAGUAGGGAAUUUUCGGCAAUGGAGGAAACUCUGACCGAGCAACGCCGCGUGAACGACGAAGUACUUUGGUAUGUAAAGUUCUUUUAUCAAGGAAGAAAAGCAAGUGGUGAACCAUUUGUUUGCCGGUACUUGAUGAAUAAGCCCCGGCUAAUUAUGUGCCAGCAGCCGCGGUAAGACAUAAGGGGCAAGUGUUAUCCGGAAUUAUUGGGCGUAAAGGGUGCGUAGGCGGUCUAGUAAGUCAGUGGUGUAAUGGCAACGCUCAACGUUGUCCGGCUAUUGAAACUGCUAAACUUGAGUUAGAUAGAGGCGAGUGGAAUUCCAUGUGUAGCGGUAAAAUGCGUAAAUAUAUGGAGGAACACCAGAGGCGUAGGCGGCUCGCUGGGUCUUAACUGACGCUGAGGCACGAAAGCGUGGGGAGCAAACAGGAUUAGAUACCCUGGUAGUCCACGCCGUAAACGAUGAGUACUAAGUGUCGGGUUAAACCGGUACUGAAGUUAACACAUUAAGUACUCCGCCUGAGUAGUACGUACGCAAGUAUGAAACUUAAAGGAAUUGACGGGACUCCGCACAAGCGGUGGAUCAUGUUGUUUAAUUCGAAGAUACCCGAAAAACCUUACCAGGUCUUGACAUGUUUUUGCGAAACGGUAGUAAUAUCGUGGAGGUUAUCAGAAACACAGGUGGUGCAUGGUUGUCGUCAGCUCGUGUCGUGAGAUGUUAGGUUAAGUCCUAAAACGAGCGAAACCCUUAUCGUUAGUUGCCAGCACGUCAUGGUGGGGACUUUAACGAGACUGCCAGUGAUAAAUUGGAGGAAGGUGAGGAUCACGUCAAAUCAGCAUGCCCCUUAUGACCUGGGCUACAAACGUGAUACAAUGGCUGUUACAAAGGGUAGCUGAAACGCAAGUUCUUGGCCAAUCCCCAAAAACAGUCUCAGUCCGGAUUGAAGUCUGCAACUCGACUUCAUGAAGUUGGAAUCGCUAGUAAUCGCGAAUCAGCAUGUCGCGGUGAAUACGUUCUCGGGGUUUGUACACACCGCCCGUCAAAUCAC
rnacentral:rRNA from 1 species